rnacentral:tRNA from 1 species
GUCCAGCUAGCAUGAGCAUGAGACUCUUAAUUUCAGGGUGGUGGGUUCAAGCCCCAUGUUGGGUG